rnacentral:rRNA from 1 species
AUUGAACGCUGGCGGCAGGCCUAACACAUGCAAGUCGAACGAGUGGCGGACGGGUUAGUAAUGUCUGGGAAACUGCCUGAUGGAGGGGGUAACUACUGGAAACGGUAGCUAAUACCGCAUACCAUCAGAUGUGCCCAGAUGGGAUUAGCUAGUUGGUGGGGUAACGGGUGACCAAGGCGACGCUCCCUCGCUGGUCUGAGAGGCUGACCAGCCACACUGGAACUGUGACACGGUCCAGACUCCGACGGGAGGCAGAAGUGGGGAAUAGUGCACAAUGGGCGCAAGCCUGAUGCAGCCAUGCCGCGUGGAUGAAGAAGGCCUUCGGGUUGUAAAGUACUGUCAGCGGGGAGGCGUUACCCGCAGAAGAAGCACCGGCUAACUCCGUGCCAGCAGCCGCGGUAAUAC